rnacentral:tRNA from 1 species
UUGUUUGUAGUCCAAUGGUUUGGAUUAUUGACUUCCAAGCAAUAAAUUCAGGUUUGAUCCCUGACAAACGCA